rnacentral:rRNA from 1 species
UGGGGCCCGCACAAGCGGUGGAGUAUGUGGUUUAAUUCGAUGCAACGCGAAGAACCUUACCUGGUCUUGACAUCCCGGAGACCCUUAGGAAACUAGGGGGUGCUUCCAUCUGGAAGAAUCUGGAGACAGGUGCUGCAUGGCUGUCGUCAGCUCGUGUCGUGAGAUGUUGGGUUAAGUCCCGCAACGAGCGCAACCCUUGCCUUUAGUUGCCAGCAGUUCGGCUGGGCACUCUAAAGGGACUGCCGGUGUUAAACCGGAGGAAGGUGGGGAUGACGUCAAGUCCUCAUGGCCUUUAUGACCAGGGCUACACACGUACUACAAUGGCCGAUACAAAGGGCAGCGACACUGCGAGGUGAAGCCAAUCCCGUAAAAUCGGUCUCAGUCCGGAUUGGAGUCUGCAACUCGACUCCAUGAAGUUGGAAUCGCUAGUAAUCGUGGAUCAGCAUGCCACGGUGAAUACGUUCCCGGGCCUU